rnacentral:misc_RNA from 1 species
GCAAACUUGGUCAUUUAGAGGAAGUAAAAGUCGUAACAAGGUUUCCGUAGGUGAACCUGCGGAAGGAUCAUUAAAGGAUUUGGACCUUCUGGGUCUUAACCUUCAACCCUAUGUCUUCAUUACCUGAUUCUUUGGUGGGGUGAUGCCCAUCAGAAGUUUUCUUGAACUCUUGAUGAAAUCGUGUGUCUGAAUGAAAAAGAAAAUAAAUUAAAACUUUCAACAACGGAUCUCUUGGUUCUGGCAUCGAUGAAGAACGCAGC